rnacentral:rRNA from 1 species
CCUACGGGUAGCAGCAGUGGGGAAUCUUGCGCAAUGGGCGAAAGCCUGACGCAGCGACGCCGCGUGAGGGAUGAAGGUCUUCGGAUCGUAAACCUCUGUCAGCAGGGAAGAACGGUCACUGUGCUAAUCAGCAGUGACUUGACGGUACCUGCAAAGGAAGCACCGGCUAACUCCGUGCCAGCAGCCGCGGGAAUACGGAGGUUGCGAACUUUAAUCGGAAUUACUGGGCGUAAAGCGCGCGUAGGCGGUAUGUCAAGUCAAGGGUGAAAUCCCCGCGCUCAACGUGGGAACUGCCUUUGAAACUGGCAAACUGGAGUGUGUGAGAGGAGAGUGGAAUUCCAGGUGGAGGAGUGAAAUCCGUAGAUAUCUGGAGGAACAUCAGUGGCGAAGGCGACUAUCUGGCACAUAACUGACGCUGAGGAGCGAAAGCGUGGGUAGCAAACAGGAUUAGAUACCCCGGUAGUC